rnacentral:rRNA from 1 species
CCGGCGAACGGGUGCGUAACACGUGAGCAACCUACCGAAGUGUGGGGGAUAGCCGGCCUAACGGCCGAGUAAUACCGCACACGAUUCCGAAGAGGCAUUUCUUUGGAAUGAAACCUACGGGGUACUUCGAGGGGCUCGCGGCCUAUCAGCUAGUUGGUGAGGUAACGGCUCACCAAGGCGACGACGGGUAGCUGGUCUGAGAGGAUGGCCAGCCACAUUGGGACUGAGAAACGGCCCAG